rnacentral:rRNA from 1 species
CAGCCGCCGCGGGAACACGGAGGGUGCAAGCGUUAAUCGGAAUUACUGGGCGUAAAGCGCGCGUAGGUGGUUCAGCAAGUUGGAUGUGAAAUCCCCGGGCUCAACCUGGGAACUGCAUCCAAAACUACUGAGCUAGAGUACGGUAGAGGGUGGUGGAAUUUCCUGUGUAGCGGUGAAAUGCGUAGAUAUAGGAAGGAACACCAGUGGCGAAGGCGACCACCUGGACUGAUACUGACACUGAGGUGCGAAAGCGUGGGGAGCAAACAGGAUUAGAUACCCCCGUAGUCCCUGUCUCUUAUAC